ACUUUGCAUCUGCCCUGGGUCUCUAUGCCAAGAGCUGCUAUUUAAAUGUCUCAGAGUCUCUUUGAGCAACAAUACAUCAGGCACUCUGAGGCAUUGUGGGAAAUUUAACAAGAUUGUUCAUAAUUUCCUGCUGCUGUUACUGCUGGUUAAGCUUUCAACUAGGGACUCACCAGAAACAGGAAGUGGCUCUCUUAAAAUUCCUCACUCUGGAGAAGUCAUGCUGAAGCCUAGCAUAAGCUUUUAAAGCUGCAGCCUUAAUUAAAAAUGGUUGUUUUUUAUUAAAAACAAGGCAGAAUAGAUGAUAUCCUUCAACCUUCAUUUGACUCAGGGGGAACACAAAGGAAAACUAGCCCGUAGUUAUGGAAGAUAAAAGACAACAGCAUAGCUCUCACAAACAAUAAAUGAAAUGGCAGACCUGUUUCCAGACUGUAUAGCUUCAGAUGACACACAGGAUUCAUCUCAUAUUCAUUCUGACAAGUCCUUCAAGUCCAGAUGUCUUCGGAUGGGAUGGAUGGCUUGUGUGUAAAUUUAGCAUUGUCCUGUGCUUCCAUAUUAUAUAUGAAAGGUCACUUGCAGGAAUCUCAAAAAUCAGGCCAGUUUUUCAACUUCUGAAGGAUUAUUAACUUCAAAGUCGGAAGAAAUGUCGGCCUUCUAUGUUUGGAAAUGCCAGCAGCCUUUGCAUAUCCCCACCACAGUACCAAGCAACCCCCAGCAGAGAGGAGCGAUUACUGCCUCGGUGGCGAGAGGAUGGCUUUUGAUCUCCUAACAUAUUGGAAAUUACUUAAAGGGGUCCUGUCCUCUUUUGCACCUGACCAUCCUAUCAGCAACUGGAAUGGGUGGGAAAUGGGAUCGGUGUCAAACCUUUUGAGAUGCACCAAUCAGAUAACAAAGAGUAGAGGAAUGGCUGUGUUCCUGCAAUCCUAAGAUCAGAGUGGACCCAAUACAUUUCGGCACCUGAGGCGAUCCACAAAACGGUGUGUGUGUCUCCCUGUCAGGGAA